rnacentral:rRNA from 1 species
UACGUAGGGAGCAAGCGUUGUCCGGAAUCAUUGGGCGUAAAGCGCGCGUAGGUGGCUUCGUAAGUCCGUUGUGAAAGUCAAAGGCUCAACCUUUGAAAGCCGAUGGAUACUGUGAAGCUAGAGUACGGAAGAGGCGAGUGGAAUUCCUGGUGUAGCGGUGAAAAUGCGCAGAUAUCAGGAGGAACACCAACGGCGAAGGCAGCUCGCUGGGACGGUACUGACACUGAGGCGCGAAAGCGUGGGGGAGCGAA